GGGGUUUUUUCCCCCAUACGCAUGCGCAGUUUGGAAAUGCCACCCCCUCCCGUUAUUGCUGACCUUCCUUUAAGACUUGGGUGGGUGUCGGAAGAGGUCCGCCCAACUUGAUCCUUCAUUUUUCAGUCUUUGAUCCAGUCUUUUUGAUCUUGAUCCAGUCUUUUUCCGAGGACAUUUCCUGCGAGGACUGGCCCAAUCAUCCAUGCCAGCAGAAGGGACAUACUGCAUACCCUGCUGGUCAAGGAAUUCCUGCUGCUGGGAUCCAGAAGAACAACUUUUUCUUCCAUCCUUUUGGCCUUCUGAAAGGGCUUGAAAACCUGACAAUUGGCCUUUGGCUCCAAUGGGGGCAUGCCAUUCUGAAGGAGGUUAAUUGACUGAGAUAAGAUUCCAUCUCCCUCCCAUUUGCAUCUUGCUCCCUUCCUUGCCAUCCUUGCUAAUUAUCCAUGAUGAAAUUUGGAGGAUUGAAGCAAACAUCUGUAGUUCUUCCCCAGAGAGUAAUUUCAUCCCUCAAUGGUUUGAGACCUCAUCCCAAACAAUAGCACUUAGCAUCAACAAUAGCACUUAGACUUACAUACUGUUCCAUAGUGCUUUAUACCACUCUCAGAGUGGUUUACAACAUCAACACAUUGCCUCCAACAAUUUGAUUCCUCAUUUUACCAACCUCAGAAAGAUGGAAUGCUGAGUUAAUCUUGAGCCAGUCGGGAUCGAACUCCUGGCAGUGGACAGAGUUAGCCUGAAAUACUGCGUUCUAACCACUGCACCAUAAGGGCUCAUAGUCUUGUCUGCACCAUUAUUCUGCCUAUUAAGUUCUGAAAAUAAUUCCUGUUAUACCCAUGGAUAUGUAUAGUUCAAGUCAACUAUUACAAUCAAAAGCUAGCCAUCUUAACAAACUAAAAACAGCUCCUCACCACUCAUUAAUAAACACUUAUUUUAAAAAAUAAAUGUAUAAUCUACUAAUGUACACUAUAACAGCUUUAGUCAUUGUUCUCUUUGACAUUAUGGAAUAUAACACCAACUUUCAUCAUGUUGUGCUCAUCUUUAUCUGAUGAAAGAUAAAGAACAAGUAGAAAUAAUUGCUAUCUGAACUGAUACAUAGUAUUUAAAACUAUAUACAAAUUACAGUACAAAAGUACACAGAUACCAUUUUUAAAUUGCUCCUGCUUCACAGGGAUACAGAUUUUUUUUUAAAAAAAUAUGGAAUAGUUUUCAAUCUGCCUUGUAGAUUUUGAUUUGGUAACAUAUCAAAUCUCACUUUCAAAAAUGCUAAAUAUUCUCAAAUUAUUGAUUUCUUGCUUCAACUUUUAAUAUGCUUUCUCUAUAUAACAUUGAAUUGAUUGAAAACAUUGAUUGAAAAUAUGUAUUUAUUUAAAAUUAUAUAAGGUUGUUUUAAAAUUGUAAAAGUCUUCUCCCAGUCCAAUCCUUAGGAUUGAAGAUUGAAAGCCGCAAACUAUGGUUGAUCUUGUUUUUUGUACAGUUCAGAACUUUCCAUUCAUCACCUACUUACUUUCCAAUGAUCUAGCAGAAUUAAUGAGCUUCGAUAACGAAGGAGAUAUGAGCACUUGACAGAUGUAUGCUGUUUUAGAAGCCAGGGCAUUUGUAACCAGAGAUCCUAAGAAAUUUAUAUAAAAAUGGGACUUUUUCUAAGACUGAGUUAAAUUAAGGCAACAAGG